rnacentral:rRNA from 1 species
GACGAACGCUGGCGGCGUGCUUAACACAUGCAAGUCGAACGGUGAAGCGCCUUCCUUUUUGGUGGGUGUGGAUGAGUGGCGAACGGGUGAGUAACACGUGAGUAACCUGCCCCCUUCUUCUGGAUAACCGCAUGAAAGUGUGGCUAAUACGGGAUAUUCUGGGUCUGUCGCAUGAUGGGUCUGGGAAAGAUAUUGUUUCGGUGGGGGAUGGGCUCGCGGCCUAUCAGCUUGUUGGUGGGGUGAUGGCCUACCAAGGCGGUGACGGGUAGCCGGCCUGAGAGGGUGGACGGGCACACUGGGACUGGGACACGGCCCAGACUCCUACGGGAGGCAGCAGGGGGGAAUAUUGCACAAUGGGCGCAAGGCUGAUGCAGCGACGCCGCGUGAGGGAUGGAGGCCUUCGGGUUGUGAACCUCUUUCGCCAGUGAAGCAGGCCUGCCUCGUUUGUGGGUGGGUUGACGGUAGCUGGAGAAGAAGCGCCGGCUAACUACGUG